rnacentral:rRNA from 1 species
CAUUUAAAGAAAGCGUAAUAGCUCACUGGUCGAGUCGGCCUGCGCGGAAGAUGUAACGGGGCUAAACCAUGCACCGAAGCUGCGGCAGCGAACGUAUCACUUAAAGCGAUUCAGCGGGUUACGAUUGACGGAGCGAAGCGACGUCAAAGCGUAUACAAAGUCGAGUCGGUUUAAGGAUACGUUCGUUGGGUAGGGGAGCGUUCUGUAAGCCCGUGAAGGUGGCCUGUGAGGGUUGCUGGAGGUAUCAGAAGUGCGAAUGCUGACAUAAGUAACGAUAAAGCGGGUGAAAAGCCCGCUCGCCGGAAGACCAAGGGUUCCUGUCCAACGUUAAUC